rnacentral:tRNA from 1 species
GGAGGUAUAGCUCUGUGGCAGAGCACAUGCUUGGCAUGCACGCGGUCCUGGGUUCAGUCCUCAGUGCCUCCA